UACGGAGGGAGCUAGCGUUGUUCGGAAUUACUGGGCGUAAAGCGCGCGUAGGCGGCUUUGUAAGUUAGAGGUGAAAGCCCGGAGCUCAACUCCGGAACUGCCUUUAAAACUGCAUCGCUUGAAUCCAGGAGAGGUGAGUGGAAUUCCGAGUGUAGAGGUGAAAUUCGUAGAUAUCAAGAGGAACACCUGAGGUGGAAGACGGGUUGCUGGGCCGAACACUGACGCUGAGUGCGCGAAAGCCAGGGGAGCAAACGGG
rnacentral:rRNA from 1 species